AAGAUGACGGGGGUUUAUGCAGGUGCAUCAAAACCAGCAAAUGCAACAGUAAAGAUCAACUCUUCACAUCUUAUCUCAGCAUAAACAAUGGCAUCAAAUGGUCAAAUGUUUAAUCAGAAGUUUCUUUGCAAGGCAAACAGGCUACUCUGUUGAAAAGAGUAGAAGAUAAUAUAACAACACAGACAAUGGCACACACGUCUCUGCAUGACACCUCCACUACAGUCAAACUAAAAAUAAAUAAAACUUAAAAUAAAUUAAAAAAAUUAAAAAACUUUAGUCUGUGUGCCAGUCUCAUUCACGUAGAUAGUUCCUGGUACCGUAUAAAAGGUGUAAACAUUAGAAUGCAGUUCUUCUAGUAAUGUGGUUUCAUCCCACUCCCCAACACCUGAGUCUGAAAGUGUUUCGUACAGAGAGGAAGUGAGAGGCUCUAGGUGGUGAAGGUGUCCUCCGCAGACCUCAGCUCCUCUCUCAGUGCCUCGGCGCCUACCCGCAUAGAAGGAAGCCUCUGUUUGUCUCCGUCUCUGCUCAAGGGUGCCAAGAUGGGCCAGACCAGCCUCAUCCUCCUGCUCCUCCUGCUCCUCCUGCUCCAGCUCCUCCGGCUCACUGCUGGGGCUGGCUGUCAAGAUAUUGAUGUAGAAAAGAUCAAGCUCAACAUCAGUGAGACUGACCAAUGUACACUUCUGAGGUGGAGUAGACCAGAUCAAGCGGUUACAUCUAAAUGCUACGACACCCACAUACAGCACAGGGGCGGUUGCCAUGAAAACUGGACAGAUACCAUUAAGACAAAAACAAAGGACUUCACUCUAUGUGUACCAAGCCAAGCCAAGCCAAGAAGCUACGGGUUUAGAGUGAGAAUGAAAUGUGCAUGCCAGUGGAAAGAGUGGAGUGGUUGGACACGUGAGAUGUGGAAAAAUGAAACAA